AAAUUGAAGAGUUUGAUCAUGGCUCAGAUUGAACGCUGGCGGCAGGCCUAACACAUGCAAGUCGAACGGUAACAGGAAGCAGCUUGCUGCUUUGCUGACGAGUGGCGGACGGGUGAGUAAUGUCUGGGAAACUGCCUGAUGGAGGGGGAUAACUACUGGAAACGGUGGCUAAUACCGCAUAACGUCGCAAGACCAAAGAGGGGGACCUUUGGGCCUCUUGCCAUCAGAUGUGCCCAGAUGGGAUUAGCUUGUUGGUGAGGUAACGGCUCACCAAGGCGACGAUCCCUAGCUGGUCUGAGAGGAUGACCAGCCACACUGGAACUGAGACACGGUCCAGACUCCUACGGGAGGCAGCAGUGGGGAAUAUUGCACAAUGGGCGCAAGCCUGAUGCAGCCAUGCCGCGUGUAUGAAGAAGGCCUUCGGGUUGUAAAGUACUUUCAGCGGGGAGGAAGGUGUUGUGGUUAAUAACCGCAGCAAUUGACGUUACCCGCAGAAGAAGCACCGGCUAACUCCGUGCCAGCAGCCGCGGUAAUACGGAGGGUGCAAGCGUUAAUCGGAAUUACUGGGCGUAAAGCGCACGCAGGCGGUCUGUCAAGUCGGAUGUGAAAUCCCCGGGCUCAACCUGGGAACUGCAUUCGAAACUGGCAGGCUUGAGUCUUGUAGAGGGGGGUAGAAUUCCAGGUGUAGCGGUGAAAUGCGUAGAGAUCUGGAGGAAUACCGGUGGCGAAGGCGGCCCCCUGGACAAAGACUGACGCUCAGGUGCGAAAGCGUGGGGAGCAAACAGGAUUAGAUACCCUGGUAGUCCACGCCGUAAACGAUGUCUACUUGGAGGUUGUGCCCUUGAGGCGUGGCUUCCGGAGCUAACGCGUUAAGUAGACCGCCUGGGGAGUACGGCCGCAAGGUUAAAACUCAAAUGAAUUGACGGGGGCCCGCACAAGCGGUGGAGCAUGUGGUUUAAUUCGAUGCAACGCGAAGAACCUUACCUGGUCUUGACAUCCACAGAACUUUCCAGAGAUGGAUUGGUGCCUUCGGGAACUGUGAGACAGGUGCUGCAUGGCUGUCGUCAGCUCGUGUUGUGAAAUGUUGGGUUAAGUCCCGCAACGAGCGCAACCCUUAUCCUUUGUUGCCAGCGGUCCGGCCGGGAACUCAAAGGAGACUGCCAGUGAUAAACUGGAGGAAGGUGGGGAUGACGUCAAGUCAUCAUGGCCCUUACGACCAGGGCUACACACGUGCUACAAUGGCGCAUACAAAGAGAAGCGACCUCGCGAGAGCAAGCGGACCUCAUAAAGUGCGUCGUAGUCCGGAUUGGAGUCUGCAACUCGACUCCAUGAAGUCGGAAUCGCUAGUAAUCGUGGAUCAGAAUGCCACGGUGAAUACGUUCCCGGGCCUUGUACACACCGCCCGUCACACCAUGGGAGUGGGUUGCAAAAGAAGUAGGUAGCUUAACCUUCGGGAGGGCGCUUACCACUUUGUGAUUCAUGACUGGGGUGAAGUCGUAACAAGGUAACCGUAGGGGAACCUGCGGUUGGAUCACCUCCUUACCUGAAAGAA
rnacentral:rRNA from 1 species